rnacentral:rRNA from 1 species
UGCCCCAUGCUCCAGAAUAGCUCUUGGAAACGGGUGGUAAUGCUGGAUGCUCCAACUUGACGCAUGUCUUGUUGGGAAAGUGUUUAGUGGCAUGGGAUGGGGUCGCGUCCUAUCAGCUUGUAGGCGGGGUAAUGGCCCACCUAGGCUUCGACGGGUAGCCGGCCUGAGAGGGCGGACGGCCACAUUGGGACUGAGAUACGGCCCAGACUCCUACGGGAGGCAGCAGAC